rnacentral:rRNA from 1 species
CGAUCUCAAAUCAAGU